rnacentral:rRNA from 1 species
AUGGUGCGUCUUAGGUCAACUAAUACGAAUAAGAUACAGUUCACUCAACGAUUGCCCUUGGGUCCCGAACUCCAUAUGGGGAAGGAAUGUUGUUGUUUGCGAGGUCUCGAUCAUUUACAUGGACCCACUUCUCAUUCCAUUUGUGGGAAUUUUAUGAUUUAUAAACCGUCCCCAACGAGCGAAAGGUUCAUGUUUGAACAUGAUGAAUCACUUCGUGCCGACCUGUUGCCCAUAAACUUUCCUGCCUCAUAUGAGAAUGGAAAACUGGAAGAUUUUCUGCAUCGGUGGAUGAAGAAUCACGAACAUAAGAAUUUCUGGUUUAGCAUGUUCCCAGAAAGAAGAUACUUUUUUCCAUUCGAGAAACGAGGAGCACGACUGAAGUGGCUAUACAUACAAAUCCAUUUACGGAUCUAUAUGCUCUGA